ACAUACGACCAUAGACUCAAGAGAAUUGGGCAUCCCGUCCGCUCUGCCAUACACAAGCCUGAGAUCGGUGGAUUAGUAGUUGGGUGGGUGACCACCAGCGAAUACCCACUGUUGUAUGUU
rnacentral:rRNA from 1 species